UACGGAGGGUGCAAACGUUGCUCGGAAUUAUUGGGCGUAAAGCGCACGUAGGUGGUCUAUCAAGUCAGGUGUGAAAGCCCUGGGCUCAACCCAGGAAGUGCACUUGAAACUGACAGGCUUGAGUAUGGAAGAGGGUCGCGGAAUUCCCGGUGUAGAGGUGAAAUUCGUAGAUAUCGGGAGGAACACCAGUGGCGAAGGCGGCGACCUGGGCCAAUUACUGACACUGAGGUGCGAAAGCGUGGGGAGCAAACGAGG
rnacentral:rRNA from 1 species